rnacentral:rRNA from 1 species
UUCCGGUUGAUCCUKCYARAGGUCACUGCUAUCAGUGUUCGACUAAGCCAUGCAAGUCAAAUGUUCUUCGUGAACAUGGCGGACUGCUCAGUAACACGUGGAUAACCUGCCCUUAGGAUUGGCAUAACACCGGGAGACUGGUGAUAAUACCGAAUAGACCAUUUAUGCUGGAAUGCUUAAUGGUUCAAAGGCUUCUAGCUGCCUAAGGAUGGAUCUGCGGCCUAUCAGGUAGUAGUGGGUGUAAUGUACCUACUAGCCCACGACGGGUACGGGUUGUGAGAGCAAGAGCCCGGAGAUGGAUUCUGAGACAUGAAUCCAGGCCCUACGGGGCGCAGCAGGCGCGAAAACUUUACAAUGCGGGGAAACCGCGAUAAGGGGACACUGAGUGCCAGCAUAUUAUGUUGGCUGUCCACAUGUAUAAAUACCAUGUGUUAGCAAGGGCCGGGCAAGACCGGUGCCAGCCGCCGCGGUAACACCGGCGGCCCGAGUGGUGAUCACUUUUAUUGGGUCUAAAGGGUCCGUAGCCGGUUUGAUCAGUCCUCCGGGAAAUCUGACAGCUCAACUGUUAGGCUUCCGGGGGAUACUGUCAGACUUGGGACCGGGAGAGGUAAGAGGUACUACAGGGGUAGGAGUGAAAUCUUGUAAUCCCUGUGGGACCACCAGUGGCGAAGGCGUCUUACCAGAACGGGUCCGACGGUGAGGGACGAAAGCUGGGGGCACGAACCGGAUUAGAUACCCGGGUAGUCCCAGCCGUAAACGAUGCUCGCUAGGUGUCAGGGACGGUGCGACCGUUUCUGGUGCCGCAGGGAAGCCGUGAAGCGAGCCACCUGGGAAGUACGGCCGCAAGGCUGAAAMUUAAAGGAAUUGGCGGGGGAGCACUACACGGGUGGAGCCUGCGGKUUAAUUGGACUCACGCCGGAAACUCWCCGGGGGCGAMAGCAUWUGUAGGUCAGGCUAAGACCUUACCYGAAUCKCUGAGAGGAGKKSAUGUCGUCGUCAGUUCGUACUGUGAGCAUCCUGUUAAGUCAGGC